UCUCUGCUCAACUAAUCUUCGCGUGAUAACAUUUUCUGCUGGUAGAACAGCUGGAGUUUUCACCUCCUCUGGAAAAUCUCAGCUUCAUAUUCGUCAAAGGUGGUGUUGAAUUGUUGCUGACAGUAAGAAUGGGCUCGAAGUCAGACCAAAAACUACUCUACAAUGUCUGUA